rnacentral:rRNA from 1 species
UGGGGAAUAUUGCACAAUGGGGGAAACCCCGAUGCAGCGACGCCGCGUGAACGAAGAAGGUAUUCGUAUCGUAAAGUUCUGUCCUAUGGGAAGAUAAUGACAGUACCAUAGAAGAAAGCUCCGGCUAAAUACGUGCCAGCAGCCGCGGUAAUACGUACGGAGCGAGCGUUGUCCGGAAUUAUUGGGCGUAAAGGGUACGCAGGCGGUUUAAUAAGUCGAAUGUUAAAGAUCGGGGCUCAACCCCGCAAAGCAUUGGAAACUGAUAAACUUGAGUAGUGGAGAGGAAAGUGGAAUUCCUAGUGUAGUGGUGAAAUACGUAGAUAUUAGGAGGAAUACCAGUAGCGAAGGCGACUUUCUGGACACAAACUGACGCUGAGGUACGAAAGCGUGGGGAGCAAACAGG